CCUACGGGAGUCUGCAGUGGGGAAUAUUGGGCAAUGGAGGAAACUCUGACCCAGCAACGCCGCGUGAAUGAUGAAGGUCUUCGGAUUGUAAAGUUCUUUUCUAAGGGAAGAAGAAAGUGACGGUACCUUAGGAAUAAGCCUCGGCUAACUACGUGCCAGCAGCCGCGGUAAUACGUAGGAGGCAAGCGUUAUCCGGAAUGACUGGGCGUAAAGGGUGCGUAGGUGGUUUGACAAGUUGGUAGCGUAACUCCGGGGCUCAACCUCGGCACUACUACCAAAACUGUCGGACGUGAGUGCAGGAGGGGCAAAUGGAAUUCCUAGUGUAGCGGUGGAAUGCGUAGAUAUUAGGAGGAACACCAGUGGCGAAGGCGGAUUGCUAGACUGUAACUGACACUGAGGCACGAAAGCGUGGGGAGCAAACAGGAUUAGAUACCCCUGUAGUC
rnacentral:rRNA from 1 species